rnacentral:RNase_P_RNA from 1 species
GGAGCAAAUCAGGCAAUCGCUUUUUUACAAAAAGAGGAAAGUCCGAACACCAUAGGGCAACGAGCCGGAUAACGUCCGGGCAUUUGAAGACGCUUCAAAUGACGACAAGUGCAACAGAGAAUAAGUCAGCCAUGCGAGUAGGGAAUUCACGAACGCGAAAGCGUUUUUUCGUCGCAAGGUGAUGAGUGAAACGGUGCGGGGCAAACAGUCGUGAACUCUAGUUUGCCCAAAGGUAAGAGCGCACCAGCGCGUUUGGCGACAAGCGCGGCUAGGCAAACUCCUCGCGGUGCAAGACCAAAUAGGAAAACAUUUUUGAGUUGCCCGCUCAGUUGUCUGCUUCCGGCAGACAAAUGUUUUCGGGUAGGUCGCUCGAGCGGUUCGGUAACGAAUCGCCUAGAUGAAUGAUUGCCGCUUUGAGAUUUUCAAAGAACAAAAUUCGGCUUAACGAUUGGUUUCGUUU